CCCUCGCCCUCCGUCGCCCUCGAUCCAUCGCCGUCGCCCUCCAUCGCCCUCCGUCGCCCUCGAUCCGGCAGCGACGCCGCCCCAAUCAGCACCCACCCCACGGAGGAGGAGGAGGUGACGGUGGAGAGGACGCCGGAGGAGGAGGAGGCAAGGCUCAGGUACCUCGAGUUCGUGCAGCAGGCGGUGGUUCUGGCCGCCGCGGCCUACGCCUACGCCAAGCAGGACGCGGGGCCGCUCCGCCCCGGCGUCGACCACGUCGAGGGGACCGUCAAGGCCGUCGUCGGCCCCGUCUACGACCGCUACCACGCCGUGCCGCUCGACCUCCUCAAGUUCCUGGACCGCAAGUUUCACAGGUGGCGUCAGCAGACGGCGUUGACUCCGGUGACCGGCUGCUGCAAUAUAUGCCUGCGUUGGGCGUGAUCGGUGGCUGGUAUGCGAUACUAGCCAUGACUGUCGCGGUUGUU